GGUGGUGCACGCGUGCCCCGAGUCGUGCCGCUGCAGGGACGCGCACGCGGACUGCGCUGCUGCUGCUGCCGCGGGGCUGCCGCUCUCAGUGAUGAAGCUCAUGCAGCAGCUCCCGGCGGGGACAGAGCACGUAGAUUUGAGCAACAAUCAACUGGAGGACAUUGAUGCCAGCGCUAUGAUGAGCCGCCUGCUAAACCUGAAGGAAGUGAAAGUGGCUCACAAUGAACUCACAGAAAUAGCAAGCUUUGGAAAAUCGUCUGAAAACAUCACCGUCUUAUCAUUGUAAGUAAAGAUAAGGUUUCGGAAUGUAAUUAAACAGUACAAACUUGCAGAAUGGAAUUUAAUGCAGUAACAGCAUUUGCAACUGUAUCCCAUUUUUAAGCCAUGGAU